GAACGCUGGCGGCGUGCUUAACACAUGCAAGUCGAGCGGAAAGGCCCUUCGGGGUACUCGAGCGGCGAACGGGUGAGUAACACGUGAGCAACCUGCCCCUGAUUCUGGGAUAAGCCCGGGAAACUGGGUUUAAUACCGGAUACGACCGCCCCCGGCAUCGGGUGGUGGUGGAAAGUUUUUCGGUUGGGGAUGGGCUCGCGGCCUAUCAGCUUGUUGGUGGGGUAGUGGCCUACCAAGGCGACGACGGGUAGCCGGCCUGAGAGGGCGACCGGCCACACUGGGACUGAGACACGGCCCAGACUCCUACGGGAGGCAGCAGUGGGGAAUAUUGCGCAAUGGGCGGAAGCCUGACGCAGCGACGCCGCGUGGGGGAUGACGGCCUUCGGGUUGUAAACCUCUUUCAGCAGGGACGAAGUUGACGUGUACCUGCAGAAGAAGCGCCGGCUAACUACGUGCCAGCAGCCGCGGUAAUACGUAGGGCGCAAGCGUUGUCCGGAAUUAUUGGGCGUAAAGAGCUCGUAGGUGGCUGG
rnacentral:rRNA from 1 species